rnacentral:rRNA from 1 species
UACAGAGGUCCCGAGCGUUGUUCGGAUUCACUGGGCGUAAAGGGUGCGUAGGUGGCAAGGUAAGUUUGAUGUGAAAUCUCCGAGCUUAACUCGGAAAAUGCAUUGAAUACUAUCUGGCUAGAGGUUUGGAGGGGGGACUGGAAUUCUUGGUGUAGCAGUGAAAUGCGUAGAUAUCAAGAGGAACACCAGUGGCGAAGGCGAGUCCCUGGACAACACCUGACACUGAGGCACGAAAGCGUGGGGAGCGAACCGG